rnacentral:lncRNA from 1 species
UCAUAUUUGAUAAAAAUCAAAGCACAAAUAAGAAAAAAUAAGGAGGAGCAAGAAUAAAAACACGCACGAAGAAAUUAAAAAAGCAAUUAACCAAUUACAUCUGAUUAAUUACUUUAAAAGUACAACACUCAAACUUUGAAAUUUCCAGUUAGGCUUAUAUUAUUUCAGUUCAACCAGUCGGAGGAGGUCGUUUGCGUGGAGGUUCUGGCAAUUUUGCUCUUACAACUGCGUGCGCCAACCCCUCGUCUUGAGCAUAAGCUGCUUCAUCUUUCUCCGCUAGCCCUUGAUCUUUUGCAUUUUCUAAUCCUGACAAAAAUGAAAACAUAUGCAUACUCGAAUAAAAAACAAUAAGAUAUAUCCAGUGUGAUCUCAUAAGUAGGGUCCGAGGAGGGAUGGGACGUACGCAAAUCUGCUCUUAUGUGAGAUAGAAAUAUUGUUUCCAAUAGACCCUCAGUAUAUACAUACCCAAAUCAUUUUGAGAAAAAUGAAAAAAGAGAAAAAGAUCUUAAUAAUGAAAUCAACAUGACGACUAAUUAAGGGUUAUAGUCUAGUGGUAUCAGUGGAAGUAUUUCGUACUAUAGGUAAGGACAAUUUCCACUGCCCUGAAUCCCUAAUUCUCCUAUGUAAUAUUACAAUAAUAACAACAAUAAUAAUAAAAAAUACAGUGAAUUUUUAUAAGUGGGAUUUGGAAAAUGAUAGUAUAUAUUUAAAUUUUAAUUCUACCCUGUGAGGGAGUAGAGACUGUUUUUGAUAGCUAAACCCUCGGCUAAAGAGAAAAUAAAAAGAAUAAGUGACAACAAGCCCUAUGUAAUAUGAAAAACCUUUAAAAAGAUAAAAAGGCACAAACGGAAUUGGUGAAACGUUAUGUAGAUAAGAUAGUUUUCAACUGUUAGUUACCUUUAGCAGGUUCUUCACUUGGAGUGAUGGAUUUAGACAGAUCUUGAAUCUCGUUUCUCUUAUCUUCAGCCAUCUUUCUAAUUUUUCUAGGUAUUUUUUCCACAAGGCUCGAGUUUAGUGUACAUAAGAUUAAUCAUUG